CCCGGCCCACCAUUUUCAGCCCAACCCAUUCUAACGUCAACAUUCCCCAACGUUCAUCAGCAAUAGCAGUGUCAAAAAUUCACAGCAAUUCGAAUUUUCCUAUCCCAACGUUCAUAUUUUAUCCCCAAAUUCAACCUUUGUAUUAACCCCUUCUCUCAUCGUUCUCAGGGUUAGAAAAUUGAAAUUAGAUAGAAAUUAGGAGCUUUUUGACGCUCUUACUUUGUUUGUCCCGUUUCUCGAUCGGAGUUUCUUGUGUGGUAGUGAAAAGUUCUUGCUUAUCUCGUAGUCUCGUAUUGCAGAGGAAUGAGAGAUUAAGGUCUGGGAGCAGCAGGAGUCAAUAAGAAAUCAGAGUAAAUUACAGCGAACUAGGACAUAGUUCAAAGAGGAGUAUCAAACUCUGAGGAUGCAAGCUCAGGAGUGACUUCCACCACAAUCAAACCACACCUAGGUAAAGAGUAUGAACAACUUGGAGCACUAUGUAGAAAUCAAUAAUUGAGAAUUUGAAUGGCUCCGGAAUUUACUAAAGGAUAUUCCGUUUUAGCCCAAACAUGUAGGACCUAUUUGCAUACAUUGUGAUAGUUAAGCAGCAAUAGGUAGGGCAGGGAGCGUCAUGUACAACGGUAAGUCUCGUCAUAUACGAUGGAGACAUAACACCGUGAGACAACUAAUCUCUAGUGAAAUUAUCACAAUUGACUAUGUGAAGUCAAACGAUAAUGUUUCAGAUCCACUAACGAAAGGCCUAGUGAGAGAGGUAGUUGAAAGAUCAUCUAAAUGAAUGGGUUUACGGCUUAGGACAAGUAACUAUGGCGGUAACUCUAUCUAGCAGACUGGAGAUCCCAAGAGCUAGAUUCAAGGAGAAAAACGAAGUUGCGGCUGAAGGUUCGACAUUGGUAAUCAACUCAAUUCAUUCUCAUGAUGAAGACAAUGUUCAGGAACAAGGGAUCUAUCAUAUACAACAAAGGCUUGACAGGUUCACUCCCUCAAUCAAUUGGAAAUUUGAAGAGUUUAUCGAUUCUGUGUGAAGCACGUGCUCAGAAACUAGUGAGUUAAUAAAGCUUAAGAUUUUUAAUGAUUUGCUAAGUUUGGCAGAUUUGACCAAGUAGAGUACCGAUGAGAUACACAGUUAGAAAUCACCUAUGUGAGUAUGAAGUGUAAGUCGCUUCAAAGAAAAUUUUAUGUCAAAAGUCUAUUCUCUAUACACUCAUGAAAUCAGGAGGUGUUCAUGAUUGAAACGAACACAACCGUAAGAUUCAUAAACAGUAAAGUGUUAAUUCUGUGACAUAUGGUUGUCUAGGUAUACGCUGAAGCUUGACGUUCAAAGAUAUCGCAUCUACCGAUUUAAGUAUAUCCGAUAUAUGUUCACUACGGAAACUCCAAGAGGAAACCUACUUAUCCAGAUGCAAUUUAUACUUGCCUGUACAGUACACAUUUAUCUGUGCAUUCCUAUGUUAAAAUCAUUCCCCAUUAAUGUGGGAGAUUGUUGGGUAUGUAGCAAGAAUUAAUGGGAAAUGGAGGGAAGAUGAAAAGAUAUGAACUUGAAAAGUUGGGAACUUGAAAAGUCGGUAACUUGAAAAGUCGUCUUAUGUUUUCAUGAAAAGGCAUUUGUCCCUCAUCAGUGUGGAAAGAAAAAUAGAAGAGGUUAAAUAAAGAAACACUCAUAUUAAUUGUUAAAAGGGUUGGAAAGAGGGACCUCCUCGCGCCGUCGUCAUCGCUCGCUCGGCUCAGCUCGACUUCGGCUUCGGCUUUGAAAAAUGAUCGAGAGAUUAUUUUUUGGACAAAGUUUGUUUUAAUUAUUUAUUUAAUUAAUUACAUUAAAUUAAAUGGCCAAAAUGUUUUCAAUUAAUUAGUUGAUAACAGUAUUGUUUCUAAUUAUUUCGUUGAGAUUAACCGAAAUGUUUCAACCUUUUAGUUGAUUAACCCAGCCCGACUCGUAUCCACACGAUCCAUUUUAUUUAAUAUCUUUCCUGGUUUUAUUUAAAUUUCCCAUCAUUUGGAAAUGACUGUUCUGAAAGGUUGCAACUUUCAGGAACAACCAGGACCGUUAGAAAGGUUACAAACUUUCAUUAAUGGUCGUGUGGAUUUUGAAAGGGUUGCAACCUUUUGGAGCCUGUUCCUCUUUCCUAUAAACACCAUUCAUUCUUCCGAAUUUUUCUGAUUUCUUCUCCUUUCUUCUGCACAAAAAUUUCUUAGUGUACUUUACUACUGUUGAGUGGUUCGCUGACACCAGAGUUUUUGGUAUCUAUACACAGGUGAUUGAGAUCAUUCUAUCAUGUGAGGAUGUUCCAAAUCAAACCUCAGAUACUAGAGGGAAAUAGUUUUCUUAAGGGGAUACUGUGUAUUCAGUGGGCUUGAUCUUAUUCUGUUCUAAUUUUUCAGAUUCUGGUGUGUUGGAAUCAAUAAUUCUUUUUUCAAACACGGAGUGGCAACAACCUGAAGGUCCAUUUUCGGACUAUGUGUAUUCCUUGGUUCCAACUGUGUUUCAUGGUCCUCUAAAAAGCACAGUACCGUAGCCAAAUCAAGUGUCAAGUCAAAAUAUCGACCAUUAGCUUCUUUGGCAGUGGAGCUGACACGGAUCACAUAUAUUUUACGCGACAUUGGCGUUCCUCUGCCAGACCAUCCUAUUCUCUUCUCGGACAACAUUUUGGCUCUUCGCCUAUCAACAAAUCGAGUAAUUCACGCUCGUACAAAACAUGUUGAACUUGAUUAUCAUUUUGUGAGGGAAAAUGUCAUCCAAGGAGCCAUAAUAACCAAAGUCGUCCCAUCCCAGCUUCAAGUGGCAGAUGUCUUCACUAAACCAGCUUCCAAGUCUCUAUUUUGGUAUUUUCGAUCCAAGCUUGGAGUUUUGCAGCUCACUACCUCUAGAUUGUUGGAGGAUGAUAAGGUAUCUGUAUGUGCCAAGAGAAGAGUCCAAACCAAAGGUUAAGUUGAAGUCCUUGCUAGACACAAGGACGUCUCAAUUAUAAGGCCACUAAAGCAAUCGCUUGGGGCCACCAUUUUCUUCCAAAGAUGCAUAUCAAGUAUUGAUAAAUUUGAAGAAAGAAAAAUUGUAUAGAAGUUAUAAUUGAGAAAAUUAAUAUUGUGUAGUUGAUUGUAGUAUCUUUUCUAAAUUAUUAUGUGGCUAGUUAAUUGUAGUAAAAUAAAUACCUGUAAUGAUUAUGAAAACUUACCAGUUUAAGAGG